AUUGAACGCUGGCGGCAUGCCUUACACAUGCAAGUCGAACGGUAACGGGCCUUCGGGUGCCGACGAGUGGCGAACGGGUGAGUAAUGUAUCGGAACGUACCAUUGAGUGGGGGAUAACGUAGCGAAAGUUACGCUAAUACCGCAUAUUCUCUCCGGAGGAAAGCAGGGGACCGCAAGGCCUUGCGCUCUUUGAGCGGCCGAUAUCAGAUUAGCUAGUUGGUGGGGUAAAAGCUCACCAAGGCGACGAUCUGUAGCGGGUCUGAGAGGAUGAUCAGCCACACUGGAACUGAGACACGGUCCAGACUCCUACGGGGGGCAGCAGUGGGGAAUUUUGGACAAUGGGGGCAACCCUGAUCCGGCCAUGCCGCGUGAGUGAAGAAGGCCUUCGGGUUGUAAAGCUCUUUCAGCCGGGAAGAAAUCGCAUGGGCUAAUACCCCGUGCGGAUGACGGUACCGGAAUAAGAAGCACCGGCUAACUACGUGCCAGCAGCCGCCGUAAGAC
rnacentral:rRNA from 1 species